rnacentral:lncRNA from 1 species
GUUGGCCAGAAUCUAAUCACCUCACAUGGAGGUUGCAGGUGAUUGUUUUUCGAAGGCACCCAUUCCAUGAGGUGCCUAACGCAGGCACAGAGCGUUUCCAUGUGACUAGGUGAAACCAAGAGUAAAACACAUUUCAAACAUUACAGCUUCCAUGUUGAGAACAAGCUAACGUGACUUUUGUUCUUGUUAGUAAAUCCCUCAUGGAGGCCUUGAGGUCUGAGGCGGCUGUUAGGCCCGGUUCAUUUCAAAAAGGAGCUGCAUCCGAGGAGAUGGUUCCAUGUAGAACAUUGUUUGUGUGAAUUAGCUCCUCACGCGGUUGUGACAAUUUCAGUCACACCAAUUGAAUUACCCCCUCCCCAAUAUUUUUUUUUAAAAGAGUGUCACAAGUCACAACUACCUGGUUCACUCCAAUUGUUUUAUGCAUUAAAUUUACACAAUUCCCUUUUAAGUGGCAACCACACCACUGUAUUAAAGUGGUCAUUAGGAGGCCUGACAGAGAGCAAGACUAUUCAUGGCAAGAACAACUCAAACGUGCUGAAAUGUCAUGUCCAGUUGGAGCUGUUGGACUAUAGUUACUGGGGAGCGGGGAGAGCCACACAGAGUGUUAUUUGUGCCAGGUUUUAAUUCCUGGAUCUGGUUUUGAAUGCCAGGACUAAGCUUCGGCAUUCAUGAAGUGAUAAAAAGGUGCCUCUGAGCAUGUGCCGUGUGCACUGCCCUGACCACUGCAGUGUGCCUUUCUGCAAAUCUCCAAGACUGGUGACAGGGGAGCAAGGCAGGCUUGAUGCUGCAUGUGCUCCUUCCUCCUUUGCAACCUCCAAAUGAAAGAAUACAUACAUAAAGGAUGCAAUGACUUUAAUAUGCCUCUAGUCAGUAGAUCCAGGAGCCAGUCUCAAAACUCUUUCUCUUUUCUUUUCUUUUCCGCCCCCGCCCCUCAUAAUCUGGUUGCUUUCUAUUCCAUACUAGUUUUUUAUUUCCUCUUCAAGGCCACAAUACCCACUUCCCAAAUAUUAAUUUCCGCCUGGGGUCCUAUAUUAAAAAUCAGCACCGUAGAUACAUAAGCUUACACUUUCAAACUACAGAGAUUAAAAACCCACACAAAUUAUAUAUUCUUCUAUAUAUGCAGCCUAAUCAUAUGUGUAUGUGUGUAUAAUUUCUUAUCCAGCCUUUCAUUAGUACACUGGGAAGUGUUAAUGAAGGAAACACAGAAGAUGUUUUGGAGUGUUUGCACAAGACCCAGUUGAGAGAAAACAGCUGAAAACUACCAGAGGGCCCUUUGGCUAGCUUGAGGAAGGUAAGGAGCCACUAAGCAGUGAAAAUAAAAGGGGUGGGAGGAAUUCUUUAAAAAAGGUUCCCCACCCCUAUGUUAGGGGCGGAAGAAAGCAAAUUCCCAGUUUUCUGUUUCUCCUUUUCCAACAGCUCUCAAAAUAUCAUGGCUCAUAGAGACCAUUGAGCAUUCUCAGUUUUAAAGCCCCUCCCUUUAAUUUAUAGGCAUAAAUACUUCAGCCUUUCUGGGCAAUAUCCUAAGUACCAAGAAACUACAAUGCUAUCCUGGUUGGUUUCAAACUGGUAGACACUCAAUCCUCUCUCUCUCUCUCUCUCUCUCUUUAUAUAUGUCUAUUGAGAAGUACGUAAUUAUUGAAUAAGGCUUUCUCCCAAGUAAGUGCAUUGGAUUGCAACCAGACAAUGCAAUUCUGUGCAUGUUUACUCAGAAGUCAACCCUGUGCAGUUCAGCAAGGCAUAUGCCUUAGUAAGUGUGCUCAGCUUUGAUUUGGUUUGGAACAGAAAUGUGAAACAUCCGUUUUUACCACAUCAUUGACUGGAAUGAGAAAACUUUUUUUUUUAAUGGUUCUGCUAUGCUUUCACCUGCUGUUGGAAGGUUCUCACGAUUCACUGAUGCAUUCCAUGUUAGGAAAUCCGUUCUAACCAAAUCCAUCUGCUUCCUUUCUGCCCUCCAUCUGGCAUCUCAUUUCUGUUUUCCAGACCCAUAACUGCAUUUGCAGGAUAAAGUUCUACCUCUUCUAAUUACCCCAAGAUGAAUGGAGAGAGGAAACAAAAUAAAUAAAUAAAAUAAAAUAAAAAUAGGGCACGUGGGCAUUUAGAGCAAAGGACAGGUUUUGAGAACCAUAGACGAAGGAAGCAGGUGGAUAUAGCUGAUUUAGGCUGUGAUCCUAUAGCCUGAUUUGGGAGCAAGUCCCAUAGAACUCAGUGAGAUUUGUGUUGAAGUAGAAACGUGUAGGAUUGCACUGUGUAUACUGUGUAUUGUUAAAUGUGCAUUAGCAUUACAAGGCUUAAUGGAUGAGAGGCAGAGCACAAAGGAAAGGUGAUUGCAAUGCAGAUUUUUAAGGAGUAAUAAGGAAGUAUGGUUACAUGGUGUGUGUGAAUUUUCUUUGCAAGUAGAGGAAAGGAAGUGGAAUAAAUUGGAAGAGGGGAAUAAUGGAGACAUUUCUGCAUGCUUUUUAAAAACUGGUUUCAGUUCUGCAGCCUAGCUCUGCUGGAGUUUGGAAGCGAUAUAUCUGCCGUUUUUGUGUUUUUAUCUUUGUGGUAAUGAGACAUAUUUUACCCAACUUUUCAGUGUGUGCUUAUAUAGAAGGUCACAAUUCAAUUUGUCUUAACCAGCAUCCAUGCUCAUGGUUCUCCUGGGGGAUGUGAUCCACAAAAAGUUGUCAUGGAACACUCCUCAAUCCGGUAGUGUCCCAAAUUAGGGUGCAGGCUUCUGGGCUAUUCCUAUUGGUAGAAUGAAGGGCAGUAUGGAAAUUUGAACAACAACAACACUACGAAGCCAUCUUCUCCAGCACAUCAAACAAUGCUCUCUGCAAGUGGAUCUGCUUGCAAAUGGCAAGCUGGAGCCUUCCUCCACAUCCUGUAGCCAGGAGGUUUUCUAGCCCACUGCUUUGUACGUCCGGGUGCAGCUGUUCCCCACAAAUGGGAUCUGCUAAGAGGGAGCAGACCUUCUGAUGCAGAAGGGCUCUAUCUCGACACCUUCCCAUUUGUAAAGAAGAAGAUCUGCAGUCUGCUGAAUAGCACAGCCAAACGGAGCAAGGUUUUGAAAAGUGUGCUAGUGAGCUUCAUACAUACAAAUAAUCCUUGGGUUAGUCUUUGCAGGUGCGGACUCUGCAUUCACAAAGGGUGCCCCAAUAACUCACUGAGGCAAGGAAGAACAAGGUGCAUAUUCCUUGCCAUUCCAGGAAGAAGCAAGCAGGUGAGGAGACAGCCCUCUUUUCAGGAGCAGGUUUAGGGAGUAAGGUAGUAUCACAAAAGGGCUGCACAUUCUUAGGUAUUUAACGUAUUAUUUUUGCUCUCCAUGAGAGACAUUUAUGGGAUUUUCUGCUUCACGUGACAAGAUAACUGGGCCAGCCUUGGCUUCAUACCUUCCAACGCAAAACUGGAAUGCGUGUCUUCCGGGACGCACUUCCCGUGCCUCACCCUUGCCCCCCCAAAACACACUUUUGUAGGGUGCAAGAUCUUACACGGCGCCCAAAAACUUUUUUCAGCAAGAUCAUGGCACCCAAAAUGGCUGCCGAGAUCUUGCAAGAAAAGACAAGGUGGCGUGUUUUUUCCAGGGCACUUGGAAAAUAUGUUAUGUGGCUACUUUAGAUAUCAACGGCUGUUGACCAUUAUGUUCCACCAGCACUAUCACAGGCAGUAUGACUUUGAAUACAAGUUGCUCGGAAUUGCAAGUGAGCAGAGCGCAGGUGAACAGGCCUGAUUCAGCCGAUUCUUCUUAUGUUCUUAACUAUCCACCUUGACAUGGAUGGCGGGGGCACUAUGUGUUGUUUCAUCUCAGAUAACAAAAUGCCUUGGGCCAGCCAUACCUCUUUUGUUGAAUUUCCCCAACUCGGCAUGCAUAGACAAGCGCCCACAUCUCAGCAUUAGGGAAUGGGCCACAUAGCCUUUCGUACUGCCUUCCUUUUGAAAACGCAGUCAACAUCUUCAUUUUCUCACUCCCUUCUUUUUCCAGUAAAUUAUUGACGUAAGAGCUGAGGCAGAAGAUAUGGUGAGAAACUUUGUACCUCUGUCGAAACAGGAAGGGUUGAGCCCUCAAGCUAUUAAUGUCACAAGGGUUGCUUUGAGAAGCCGGGUCCUGGAAAAAAGGAUUAGGUGUAUAAAUGGGUAUCCUAUUUUCUGCCCGAGAGAAGCACAUAAGAUUGUUAGCAAACAAUACAAAGGGGUGCAUUUUGUUCAAUACCUUUACUGGGGGGCAGGGGACAAAACUACAUGUAAGACAGGUUUUUAGAUAUCCAAGGGUUUGUGUGAAAAGGAAAUUAUUUUUAUUUAAGUUCUACUUUCAACUUUGGGGUGUUAGGGGAGGGGUAGUACUUCUCAUGGGGGACACGUCAUGUUCCUUCUGGGGUAGUUUGUCCAUCUUUGGUCCCCACCCUGCACUCAUCUCCUAGAAGCUGUCAGUAUGCAACAGUGUCUGAGAAACAGCUUUUACUGGCCAGCUAAACCACAUGAGGGUAGCUGAUAGGUCUUAAACCCUCAGUGAGUUAGGUGGUUUCUGCACAUGCUGUAGAGAGAAGUGAGGGGCAGAUGAGGUUUGUCAACCUGGGAAAGUAGCCUAUCUUAGGAGAAAGAAAACUCUGAUCCUAAGCCUUGUGGGAUAUAUUUGGGAGAGGAAAAGGCUACACAAAUCUGGGGUGGAGUCUCUAAGACAGUUGGACGGCGCCUUGUACACCUCCUUCCAGCAACUCCUGCAGCCAAGGUGGUACCAAAUGUAUUGCUCUGCUUUCCACAUGGGCUGAGGCUGAGGAGGGGGGUGUCUUGUCUAGUCCAAUCCCCUGUAAUGCAAUGAUGAUGGGAUUGCAUCCUCUAGUGCACCUGAGGCAGGAGUCUAGUUUGCAGAGUAGGGGAAGCAGAGCAGGUCAUCUAGUAUAUUCAGACGGGAAUAGUUAGGGCUUUUAGGAGGGGCAGCCAGCAUCUGCUGCUACUGUCCAGCAUCUGCCCUUGUCUUACUUCGUCUAAUGGUAGGGCCGGCACUGGGAAGGGAAGAAUGAUUAGGUUUACUACCUAUUUUUCUUUAAAUGAUUUGUUUUAUACCACCCACUGACCUGUGCAACACAGCAACAAACCCUUUUCUGUGGGAACUUGAUAACUAAUCGAAACUCAAACGAAUGAUGUGAUUUAUGGGCAACCCUCCUUUACUUGCAGAUUUAGCCCUGGUUGUCCAAUGACAUUGACAUUCCUUAGCUACAUGUUAGAGGUGCAAAGUUCUUGAUAUGCUCACCUCCAUGAGUCAGCAUUUCCUCCCCUUGGCCACGACAAAGAACAUUAGCACAGAGGAGUUAUAGGAGGGAAGCCAACUUCCUUCUAUAGCUAGAAUGCAGAUUACAGAGGUACAAAGCAGGGUUGAUAAGGGUGCUGGGUCAGUCAGUUUUGCGUCUUCUGCUGUGCUUCAGCUGUGCUCAAAUACUUUUAGUCAUUUAAAUAUUUGUCACCUUAAAAAAAAGAGAUUUCAAAGGAGUUGAAAAUAUGAGGCCAUCUGCUGAAGGCAAGGGGGAGUGGAAGUUUGCAGAAGUCCAUUUAAAAAACCACUCUGGAGGAGUAUCUCCAAACCAGCUCUGUGAGGACUGAUCAUUCUAAACAGCCAUGAAAUGCUGAGAGUUGCAGGGGUGGGUGUUUGGAGUAGACAAACCAAGGGGAGAGUGAUUGUUCUGCUUGACUGGAAUGAAACUUUAAAGAAAAAGACUCUUGCCAUUCUUUAUUCAAGCUAUUUCUAUACAACCUUUCAUGCAAACAUUACAAGGCAAAGAACAAGAAAGCAUUAAAAAAAAGGAGAUUAUGGAAUAAAUAAGAAUAAAGGAAUAAUUAUUAAGAGGGAGGAUACACUACCCGCAAAUUUUCUUCAAAGUCCCAAUGGCAAAAUCUAGAGUGAGAUCUUUUGACCGCAUUUGGGGCAUUUGGACAGGAAGUAUGAUGAGGAAAUGGAAGGGGUUUUCUCAAGCGGCGGAGAUAAAGCAGCACGUCUGGUUUCUGCGUCAGUGAGAUGUGCAGAUAUCGGAACUCCUGAAAUUACUGGUUACCAAAUUCAGCUGUCUUCUUAGUAUCACUGGGCUGCUGGUAGGAAGAAAGCAGUUCAUCCUGUGCCAGAAGUUUACAUGAAGGUUAUGGGUACUUUAUCAUAGAAUCAGAGUCAAAGAUCGUUUAGCCCAGUUCGCUGCCAAUCUAGGAAACCGAUUACCUCAUAAUAAAACCUCUAGUAAAGGAGAGUCUACCCCCUUCUGAUAAGGCAGCCUGUUCUGCUGUUAAACAGGCUGUACUAUCAAGACAUUCUAAUCAGUUCUAGCAUUUCUCUCUGUUUUGAGUAUGUAUUUUUAAUUCUAUGAAUAUUUCUGCGGACUUGGAACAAGGGUAGGGAACUUGGGGCCCUCCGAGGGACUACAACUCCCAUCAUCCCUGAUCACUGCCCAUCCUGGCUGAUGAGAGUUGAGGUCCAACAACAACUGUGGGAGAGCACAAAUUCGCCAUCACUGCCCAGAGUGAUGCUAGCAAGACUAUUGAUUUCCUGUUUCAGGGCUCCCCGAAUCCACCACCAUAAUAUCACAACUACAAAAACUGGAGAAACAAUAAUCCCAACAAAAAUACUGUCCACAUUCUAUCAGUCCAUGUCAACUGGGGUUGAUGGGAGUUGGGAUCCAGAAACAUUUGGAGGGCCACAGGUUCCCAUCCCUGCCUAAUGCUAUCCCACUUCGUUUGAUCAUUAUUUAUUACAGUGGUACCUCGGGUUACAUAUGCUUCAGGUUACAGAGUCUGCUAACCCAGAAAUAUUACCUCGGGUUAAGAACUUUGCUUCAGGAUGAGAACAGAAAUCGCGCAGCGGCAGCAGGAGGCCCCAUUAGCUAAAGUGGUGCUUCAGGUUAAGAACAGUUUCAGGUUAAGAACGGACCUCUGGAACAAAUUACCGUAUUUUUUGCACCAUAACACUCACUUUUUUCCUCCUAGAAAGUAAGGGGAAAUGUCUGUGCAUGUUAUGGUGCGAAUGCCUACGGAUGGCGGGGGGAUCUGCUGCAGUUGUGAGCAGAGGAUCCAUGGUUCCCCUUCCUUCCCUCCUCCGUGACUCGCUUUGAAACAGCAAAGCAGGUGAAGAGCCGCUGAGUGGGGAGGAGAGAGGGACAGAGAGCCUGCUUCUUUAAAGGAGCAAAGCGGGAGAGGAGAGGAGCCGCUUACACGGGUCACCCCAAAUUCACCAGCAGAUCACAUAGCAUGUCCAUGGCUACAGCUUGCACCAAAAAAAUCAUGCACCCACUGUUGCCUGGGGCCGCGGUGGUGCAAAAACAUGGUUACAAAGCAUGGAUCCUCAGGAUUUUUGCAUUGGGCUACCCCAAACUUACCGUCAGAUCACAUGUCUGUGGCCACAGAAUGAACCACAAAAAUCAUACAUCCACUGUUUCGUUUAGAAUAUUUUUUUUCUUGUUUUCCUCCUCUAAAAACUAUGUGCGUGUUAUGGUCGGGUGCGUGUUAUAGAGCGAAAAAUACAGUAAGUACUUAACCCGAGGUACCACUGUACAUUUAUAUACUGCCUUUAUCUUCCAAGGAGCUCAAGGUGUGCAUGGUUCUCUUCCUCUCCAUUUCAUCCUCACAACAGCCCUGAGAGGUACGUUAGGCUGAGAGACUGUGACUGGCACAAAGUCACACAGAGAGCUUCACAGCUGAGUGGGGAUUCGAACCCUGGUCUCCCAGGUCCUAGUCCAACACGCUAACCAUUACACCACAAAGGCAUAUUUUGCUAGAGGAAUGUCUUUAGGCCAGAAGUGGGUGGCAUAGUGGGGCAAUGGCAUUUAACCUGACCUCCUGAUAGCUGAGUCGCCACUGCUUAAUGGGAAAGAGAGGGCCAAGGUUGGCAUGGUGCCAGUCCAGGGCUGCUGCCAGUGUGCUGGCACCAACCUCCCUGCCCCCUUGCUCCCCUUUCCUUCCCAAUAAGCAGCAACAACUCGGUUUUGGGGAGGCUGGGUGAAUGCCGUCAUCCCACCCGCCUUCUGCUGCUGUUUUGGAUCUGAAACAUUCAGUGUAGUCUAACAUAAAUCAGAUUUAUGGAAUCAUAGACUUGUAGAGUUGGAAGGGACCCUGAGGAUCAUGUAGUCCAACCCUCUGCAAUGCAGGAAUAUGCAGCUAUCCCAUACAGGGAUUGACAGGGAUCGAACCUGCAACCUUGGCAUUAUCAGCACCACGCUCUUAACCAGAAUAUCUUUAUAAUGUAGUUCUUAUGCACUGAUAAGCUCCCUUAAAACCACAAUGUCCGUUUUGUUACCAGUAGAUCGUGAUAACUUUAUUUCCUGUAAUCCUGGGCGAAUCAGUGAUUAUAAGGCAGUCGCUUCUCCCAGGGCAAAACACAGUUCUGCAAACUGAGGGCCACACUUCAACUUUUGGUCUCGCUAGGUUAGCUCAGAUUACGCCGCCAUCGUAUUUUGUGACAAGAUGUGAUGUGACACAUCGUCAAGCCUGAUGCCUGGGAAAGCUGCUCUUGCAGCAGGUAGAAAGGGAGCAGCAGAUGGUAAGGCAGCAGUAAAACAGGUGGAGGCAUUGUUUGAAGAUAGCCUGAAUUAAGCUUGCUUAAUUUGUUGGAUCUCUGCUAAAUCCCAGCAACGAUUGUCUCUUGCGCAGCAUCAAGUUUAUCCAGCGGGCAAGCAGUCAGAACUAGACCAUCUGUAAUCACUUAUUGUGCUAAAUCUUCUUUAAAGCUAGCCACCAAACAAAUGUCUUUCCUCUCGCUCGUUCUAGGUGAGAACAGCCCCUGACACCAGGGCAUGAGAAAAUACGCUGCAGAGCUUGGAAAAAUGUUUAUUUUCCUGGGAGUAUUUUCAGCUGGAGGGUAACUCCCUUCUCUUCUCACUUGGCUGAAGUGCAAAAGAGACCUCUGACAGUCACAGAGUUUGCCUUUCUACUGGGGCCCUCUUCCAAAAGGAGAAAAGCAUUUUCCAAAACAAGGGCCUCCGAGGUUGCUGAGAUUGCAGCCUUGAUGUGGGAAUCAGCUUCAAGCCACUCCCACACUCGAUAGAGCUGGAGUAGCAAUACAAAGGAGCUGAAACGAACCUUUGUGUUCUCCUUGGCAUGGGCAAUUCUGUCUUAAACUUUGGGGCCACAAUUACAAGCUCUUUCUGCCCUACCCUUCCACCUCUUCCACCAGGAUAUCAAGAGAUGUUUCCUUGGAUGGUGCUCUUGCCAAUGGCCAGGAGCGAAAUAGGAUGAUUAUUUGGAAGCAAGGCUCCACACAAGACUACAGCACCUGUUUUCCCAUCUCAGGUGUGUACAUCCCCACACUUGUCUUUGGGGGAGUCACUGUUAGUGGUCCUCCAUGGUUCGGAUCCACCAGAAGCCAUUCUUUUUAGUAUUAUGGGCCCAGUUUUUCGGGACUCCCUUCCAAUUCAAGUCAGACAGGCCUCCUUCUCUACUUAACUUCCAGAACUUACUGAAGAGUUUUAUUCCAGCAGGCAAUUUAAUAUUUCCCCCCCGGUUUUUAAUUUUUUUUGUACUGUAUAAUUGUAAACCACGUGGGCAUAUUCUGCAAGUGUCCUGGAAAAACUGGGACAUUUUGGGGGGGGGUAUCAUGAGCGCAUGAUGUCCCCUCCACAAUCUCGCACGGUGACCCAAAAUGCACAUUUUGGGGCACCAUGCUCUCCCAAAGUGCUUUGGGGGGGACGGGACCACAAGGCAAAAUCAUGUGAGAUCAUGGCUGCCAUGCUCUCACAGAAGGGGGGGAAGGGAAGAUGUUGUCUGGGAAGAUGGCAUCCUGGAUUUUGGCUUCAAAGUGUUGGAGGGUAUGUGUGGGUAUUAUUGCAAUUCAGCGGUACAAAAAUUGUUUACAUGAAUGAAUGAAUGAAUGGAGUAAAUAAAUAAACAAACAAAUAAAUAAAUGAUAUAUAACAUAGAAUCCUAGAGUUGGAAGGGACCCUGAGGGUCAUCUAGUCCAACCCGCUGCAAUUAUUUGGUGAAAACUUUGUGCUCUGAAUGGACCUGCAUAAACUGUUGCACCAUGUGUCAGGGUGGAUUAGGGUGUGUGUGUGUGUGUGUGUGUGUGUGUGUGUGUAAGUACCUCGGAAGUCGAACGCCUUGUGACUCAAACGUUUUGGCUCCUGAAUGCCGCAAACCUGGAAGUGAGUGUUAUGGUUUGCAAAUAUUGUUUGGGACCCGAACAUCCGAUGGGGCUUCCAUGGCUUCUGAUGGGCUGCAGGAGCUUCCUGCAGCCCAUCGGAAGCUGCACCUUGGUUUCCGAAUGUUUUGGAAAUCGAAUGGACUUCCGGAACGGAUUCCAUUUGACUUCCGAGGUACGACUGUAUCCCAAUUGCCUUGCCCAUCCACCCAGAGUAGCGCCUAAGCUUUUUGUGAAGAGUCGCUUGACUGCCUGAUGCCACAUUUCAGGUCAUUUGUUCUCAGUCAGCACACUGUGCUUCUCUUGCUGAUCCAAGCUGAUCCAGGACACCAGAUCCCCAAACACGCCUGUUUACCCUCCAGACAGGCAAGGGAGCAUUUUAUUCACACUCUGCAGCACCAUGGUACCCUUUGGCCCUUUAAAAAAACACAACCCCCCCCCUUGUAUUUCACCUUUAGGAAAAGGAACUCUGCGCAUGCUGAGAGGCACUCUGCCAGCAUAUCAAAAACGGUUGUAGGUGUGAGCCAGAAAUAGACUCUGGAUAGUGCUGUGGGAGAAAGGCAACCUCACCCUUAGGACCAAAUUAAACCUGGGUGUGUAAACACAGAUCUGGCUCGGUUUCAUCGGCUGUGUACUACACAUGACCGGCUUGAAAUGCAGACAAGGUUGUUCUUUUCCUCAGUACGGAUUGAAGCUGGUUUCGGAGGGUAGAUUUGCCAGUUGCGUUGCUAAAAUGCACCACAUCGUCAUCCAAGUGACCGCAGGGAGCAUUUCAAUUUGAAAUAUUCUGGUUAUUUCUACUUUUAGUUAAGCAAUUUUAUUUAUUUACUUGAUUGGAGGAGGAGGGCAGCUGCCCCCCUGCCCCCUGGCUACACCCAUGGAGACUGAUUGUGGUGGGAACACUCUGGGUACAGAAUAAAAGCAAGUUUGUACGCAGAUACAGAAAGCGAGCAGUGAUGGGUCUGAAUUUAACAGCAAAGGGGGAGGCGUGGCAGACAGAAGUCUCCUCUGUCGGCAGCUCAUGCCCCCUCAGGCCUUCUCCCAUAACACUUCGUGCCAGCCAAGUGCCGAUGUAUUGGAGCUGGGCUGAGGAAGGAAGCGACUGGGGAGGCAGACUCUUGGAGGUAAGUUGUGCAUCCAAAGCAAGGAAAAAGGGAAUGAAUAAGUAGCUGAUAUGGGUGGUGUUAUAAAUACUUAAUGAGGCGCUCCACUCAUACUAACCAUCCCAGGGCACUCAACCACUGCCACAAUGUCCUUUCUUCUAUCAGAUCAAAAUGAGCAGAUAACAGCAAAGGUUGCUAGGUUCAUAACAGGGGCAAUCAGAAUAAGGGCCACUAACUGAUGGCUGAUUCAGGACUUUAAAUUGUGCUCUUAUAUCAAAUUUCCUUUUCUGCAUACAGUGGUACCUCGGGUUACAUACGCUUCAGGUUACAUAUGCUUCAGGUUACAGACUCCGCUAACCCAGAAAUAGUACCUCGGGUUAAGAACUUUGCUUCAGGAUGAGAACAGAAAUCGUGCUCCAGCGGCGCAGCGGCAGUGGGAGGCCCCAUUAGCUAAAGUGGUGCUUCAGGUUAAGAACAGUUUCAGGUUAAGAACAGACCCCCGGAACGAAUUAAGUACUUAACCCUGUAUACUGUAAUGUUUUACUGUUGCUAUGGCCAUUGGCUAAUGCGAAUAAAGUUUUAUCUUAUAUAACAAGGAGACGCUCCACAGGCUUAAAUGUUUAUUUGGGUAAACCUGAGGAGAUCCUGGUUAUGUGGCAGUAAUGCCCGAAAACGAAACUUCCCCCCUCAGCCUCACCAGGAGAGGAGUCCAAGAGCUUUCUGACAAGCUUAUGUCAGCAUGAAUUCAUACUCGCACAUCAGUUUCCAUCUGGCAGCUGUCACUUAAAGUACUUCAGAUCACCUGCCAAGAAACUGCAAAGGGUGUUUCUUCCCCAUAUGGACCUUUGUGCUUUAAUCUUUACUUUCAUAAUUUGCCAGGCUCCUGGCUGGAACUCCCUUUUUAUGGUGCUCAUUUGGCUCCAUAAAUAUGGCGAGCAAUACCAAUCAGCCAAUCGCAAAUGAGGUAUGGUAGGAGCUGGAAAGGGUGCAGAAAAUCACAUAUGCAUUAACUCUUAGACUGUGCCACUUCAGCAGUCACUCUGCAUGCCUUAAGGCUGGUCUGCUGCCCUCAUGUGCUGUGGAGGACUCUGCCCCAUUGCCAUUGGUGAGGUAAUGUUCAGCUGCCAAUCUGGUUAGUUUCCAGGUUGCGGAGAAGUUGCCGUCUAUUCCUUUCCUUCAGGCAGCAAAAUAUAGUAUGAUCAGCCUUGGCUGCUGGUUUCUGGGGGAUAGAUCUAAUUUCUAAAUGCUCACUGUCCCUAGGCAGUCUGUCUCUGAAUACCAGCAACUUUAGGCUUACAUUCUCUAUAGAUUUUCCAGAGGUUAUCUUGCUGGCCACUUGUGGAGACUACAGUAGAUGGAUCCUAUACCUGAACCAAAAGGCACUUAUGUUCCUUGAACUCCUUGGCAUCAUGAAGCAACAGGUUUGCCUUGGAUGUUGUCGUUUGCUUCUCAAGGUAUCCUUCACAAAGGGUGUUUCUGGUUUAUCGGUUGGUGGAGUCUAUCCAAGUUGGGCUUUGCAGGUAAGAUUUUCACUUGGAUAUGUUUUCGCUUGGUGGUGCAGUCAUGAGCUUUUUUUCCGCACACACCUCUUUUUUGGCAAAGCAUAAGUGGCCACACUCUAGCACCUUCUACUUGCCCAUCCCGUGGUUCUGAAAGCCACCCAAAGUCUCAGAAAGCCACUCCAUGUCCUUGCACUUAGAGAUGGCAACCCAUAAGCCACAAAUUUCUGUGUUUUUGGCUCGUGAAGGGGGCCAUGUCAGAAUGUCCUCCCCUGAUUCUUUUGCCACACGUAAAAACAGCUUACAGGAAGCGUAGGAGCUGAGUCCGGGUGCAACAACUCUGGUCCGAGUAAGCAAUGAGUGAACUCUUCUUUAUCACAGGUAUCUCUUGUGGUGUGGCUGUUCUGAUAUACCAAGUUCUGCUACCCCACAUCAACCAACAUAGAAUAGUUUAAAUGAGAUCAGAAUUACUAUUUCAGGUUUUAGAAUCCAAGAGAUAGAUGAAUUUCAGCAGAGCAGGGCAAAUUUCAAGAGCCCUGAUCUCAGAUACAUUGGUACCUCAGGUUACAUACCCUUCAGGUUAUAUACGCUUCAGGUUAUACACUCCGCUAACCUAGAUAUAGUGCUUCAGGUUAAGAACUUUGCUUCAGGAUAAGAAUAGAAAUCGGGCUCUGGCGGUGCGGCGGCAGCAGGAGGCCCCAUUAGCUAAAGUGGUGCUUUAGGUUAAGAACAGUUUCAGGUUAAGUACGGACCUCCGGAACAAAUUAAGUACUUAACCUGAGGUACCACUGUAUAUUCAAUAUUAAAUUGCCUCAAAGCAGUGCGUGUGCAUUUGUAGUGGUUAGGUUUUUUUAAAAAAACAACACCACCUUAUGUGGAAUCACGUGUGAUCCAAACCAUCAGGAUGGUAGUGCUUGUUCUCUCAUUUCCCUUAAUGAUGCCCAUGCCAAAGCAAAAGCCAUUGACACUUUCCUGGCAAACCGCAGAGAAUGACUUCCUUAAUGGUCCAACUGAGUGUAUGUGGAGGAGUGAAGAAUAUGGGUGGUAUGUGUUUGCAUGACAGGAGAAGCUGAAGUCUUUCAUUUACCCGAAGAACAGAGUCAACAUGGGAAUCAGAAGUUCCAGAUUCUCCUAACCAGAUAAGCCACCAAAAUGGCUCAAUCAAAGCUUCUGACAAAAAAAAGAGAGUUGACAAUCAAAGCAGUCUUAACUACUCAGUUUCUGCAGACCUGUCUUAGUUCCUUGUCAUGCAAUGCAACACCUAUAAAUAACAAUACAACUGGAGGAAAUUGGAGCAUGCCUUAUGUAAUGUAAUAUAACUGAGGGGAGGUUUCAUCCAGUUAUUCAGAUUCCGGACCAAACGACACUUUAUACAGAAAUGUGUACAGCGAAACUCUCAACAGCUGCUUGGCAAAGGGAGUGAUUUGAAUCGGGGAAGUAGCCUGUUGGUGGGUGUGGGUCGCUGAGGUUAAUAUUAACUUAGUCAGCUGCUUUUAUUCUGAAAUCCAACCCCCCCCCCAAGCUGUUCUCCUCCAAUGGGGUUCUAAAAACAUAUCUGAAAAAGUGUGGAAUCCCACCAAUGGUGGGGGAUAGAAGAGGCUGCAGAGAAGUUGUGGUGGGCAAGGAAAGGGUUAAGGGCCCUACACUGCUUUUGCACUCCACAAGCUGCUUUUCCUAUUAAAAAAAUAGACAUGCAUUUGGGUGCAAUGUUUUGUUUGGCCCAGAGUUUACAGUGCAGGUAUUCACAGUGCAGAGGGGAGCUGGGUCAUGCUGGGAUGGUAGUGGGCUGCCAACUGUGCAGGUUAUAUCCAUGGAGGGACCAAUCAUGGACAUGUGCUAAUGCAAUGAAGGCAUAAAGAAACAACCUAACCUUGACUCUCGGAUGUUCCAAGCCAAGAUUCUUUCUCAUGGGAGCAAUGCUGCUUUCUGCAAUUUGCUCAUUCUUAUGUUCCUAUCCUGCCUUUCUAUUUCAAAUUGCAGUGCCCAAGGCCACAAAUAUCAAAAUUUAACUCAAAAUUUAACCCACACAAAGGGAGCAGCAAAGAAAAUUGGGGAAGCAGAAGCUAUAAAUUCAAAGAAGACUCACCUGGCUGAAAGACUUGUCAGAACAGAGGCGUCUUUAGCUGUCAUCAAAACAUAAACAGGGACAUGAUAGAUCAUCUGCAGCAGGGAGUUUCACAUCCUGGGUACCACAACAGAGGACACCUUUCUGAACAUUUAACUGUGCAAAAUGGGCUCCUCUGAAAGUGGCAGUGGGACACUGAGAAGGAUUUCGGAGACUGAGAUUCUAAAUGAGCAGGCAAUAAUAUGGAGAGGACUUGGCCCUUUCAAUUGCAGGAUAAGCAACCUCAUAACUAACCUGCUUAAGUCUAAUUAGUGCACGAAGGACUUAAGACAAUUGAAUAAGCUGUCCUGCCAGGCUUAGCUCACCUUGGGAGGGACUAGGUAAUCAAGUCACUGUUCCCCUCCAGUCUCCCUUAGAAGCUCAGUGGGUGAAGAGGCUAAACAGGUUGCUCUAGCUUAGCCGCAUGGCUUUCACAAGCCAUUCAGGUGUUCCUAUAUCAAUAAUUUAGGAACUUUCACCACUGUAACUAGGCCACGUUUUACUGCCUGUGCAACUUUUUAUGAAUGCUGUAUGAAAAAGCACAUGAAUCUGACCUUUGGGGAGUUCGUAAGUAAACCAUUUUAAACUUACCAAAUGUGUGAUUUAUUUUUUUUAUGCUAAGGGAAGAGGGAAGUUUUGGAACUCACAAUGGCAUAUUUUAAAGGACUAACUACCUAUAUUUCCAUGCUUUACUUUAUUGCUUAUGUUGUGAUUCUCUCACCAAAGAUUACUUGCCCCAAUCUAAGAUCUUGGCAUCCAGGAAGUCUCCUUUUUAUACCUAUUUUUUCCCUUGCCACCAACAGAGUUAUUGUGGGUCCAAGCAGUUUGGGUCUUUGAAGGUAAGCAGCCUUUUGAACUGAGCCUGGAAAUGGCGGAGCUACUAUAAGAGGGAAGUUGCAUAAAUUAAAUAAAAAGAACCCUGGUUGCUUGUGAAGCUGUUUGUGCCUGUUGUAUCAUGCAGCAUUCACAUAAUGGAAGUGUGUGGGAGACCUGUGAGCGCUUCAGUUUUAAUUGUAGGAAGCAUGCAUUGGAGAGAAUACAUGCAAGGCCUCUAGGGGAUAAAUUUGACAAGAAGAAAUAAAAAGCAGAGGAGAAGUGUUGUAAACAAAAAUUGCCAUUUUCCCUUAUGGGGUAUCCAAGAGCCCAUAUAGAGUCCUUACAUAGGUUCCCUAUUGGUAGGAGAAAAUAACAAAGGCCAACCAGAGAAUAUUGAGGAGCAAAGCAGCUAGUAAGCUUGAACUUUAUUGAUCUGUUGCAACAGGGUGCUCCCCUCACCUGCAGGAGAGAGGAGGAACCCAGAAAAAUGGCGCACAAGGCCUUAUAAAGACUUUUGAAAUUGCCAUCCUGUAGAUCAAGACCACCCCCAGAAACAUCAUACAUACAUCACAGAAAGGGUGUAAGCUAAGACCACCCCCCAGAUACAUCAUACCUACAUCACAGAAAAGGCGGUCUAAACAGAAAUUUGAAUGUUGUUUUUCUCCAAUCCUUGUUUAUCUCCUGUCUGGCAGGUUACUUGAUUGGAUUGCCUGGGAAGCCUGGCCAUUCUUUUGUAGUGAUAAAUACUUAGUUCCUGGGCCAUGUCACAGGCUCACACCCUAUUCAUAUCUUAAAUGUGCCCUUAAGACAGGAUUUGUGAGGAAAGAGACAAUUGGAGGUUUCCCACUUUGACCUUGCAGAGAAAACAUUGGCUCAGUUUAGGAAUCAAAAUGGUUCCAGGUUGGUCUUCCUGUGCUGAUCUAUGUACGUGCUUGGUUGGUACACUUAUGAACAUUACCAUAUAUGUAAGACCAUAAAAUUCCUAUCACAGAAGAUCAAAACUGGUGGGGAUUUCGGUACCCUCCAACAUUCUGCCGAUCAAAAUUGGACUCACACCUUUCACUACCACGCUCCUGUGUGAGCCAGCUGGGGCUGCCCUACCCCAGCCCGACUGGCAGCAGCUCCCUCAGCAAGCACCACACCGGCACCUCCAGCUUCUCCUCUUCCUCAUCCUCAUCCUCCUCAUCUUCACUGGCUUUUUUCUCCUCCUUCAGCAGGGGUGGCGUCAGGAGGAGGCAGUGCAGCCUCUGGGACUGGCCUGCACCAGCAGCAGCUCCACCUCCAUGGGUUCCAGCUCGGGCGCCUUCUUGAGUGCGAAAGACACAUCUUUUAGUGCCGAACUCACAUAGGAGCCAGCUGACUCAUGCAAGAGCUCAGCACCGAAAAUGGGACAUCCAAGCCAAAGCCAGGGUAGCUUCUGUCAUUCCAGGGUGUCCCAGUCAAAUCGGGACUGUUGACGGGAAUGGAUUUCAAAAUGGUGCAGGAGGCAGAAAUGGAACUGUUGACGUCCCCUGUUAUAUUAUGGGCAUUAUCGCUAAUUAUACUAGCACAACUGCCAUCUCCAGAGCAAAACAACCAUGAGUGCUGCACUUGCUGAAUGAAGAGUAGCAAUUGACCAGCAACUUGCCUUAGUGGUUUCAAGUAUGGGCAAACACCAAUUCCCCCGCAAGCAGAGUGCUUGCUGAGGUCGUUUUGUCUGGAUAAUUUACUGACAGCUUUGCAGUUCUGAUGGGGGGAGGAAAACCCCCAUGUAUUUACAAAACUGAGGCCAGGCAGAGGUGUUACAUUUUAUAUAUAUGAGAAGAGGCAUAUGUAUUUUCAGAAAGAAAUUUUAAGAGAGUGAUUAGCAAUUACAGAUUUUUGUGGGAAGUGAAAGAGGGGGCAUGCACAGGUACAAAACCUGAGUCCUUAGAUGGCUUAUGCCACCCUUUGUAUAACCGUAAGAAUCACACAUGCUUCAUUAAGCUAGGUAGACUAACAGAAGAGGUGCAUUAAAAGUGAAAAAGCUUCUUGCGUGUCAAAGCAAGAGCCAUCUGUUUGAGCUCUGUGGGCGGGGUGGAGGGGGAAAUAGUAAAUUGUUUAAGGGAAGCUGUUUGAACAGUAACCAUGUCAAGAAUAAAUUGAGCAAAGUUCCUUGCCAUUUAUAAACUGGGCUUCUAAAGACUGUAAAAAACCCCAACUAUUGCUCGGGAGGGAAUGGUAUUGUUUGUUUGCUACUAUCUUAUGUAUUUUUGUGCUUUUAUCAUGUAAACUGCCCUGGGAUCCUUGGAUGAAAGGCAGUAUAGAAAUGAAAGAACGAAAGACAGAGAAAGAAAGAAAACUAAACUGGUUUUCCAAGCUAUUUUGGGAAGUUGUUUGCAUCCGCUGAUGGCAGAGCCUCAAAAUGCUCUUGAAAUUUAUGCAAAUUGUGUGUGGUUUGCGUAAAACAAAUAUGCUGUGAUAAUAAAUCUCAUGCUUUCUGAUGUUCCUCUUACUUCUAACUCAAGAAAGGUGAAGCCAUCAGCAAUUCCAAGGAUAGUUCCCCUGUCCAAAAACAUGUCUAUUAAUGGACAAUCCAAAUGUUGCACCAAGAACAUUAGGAUUCUCUUAUCCGUAUAAAUUAUGCAAGUUCAGAAUUUGCAUUGUUUAUCUUAUUUUUCAGAACUUUUUCUAAAAUUUUGACUGUUGUGCAUAACUUAUUCUGGUUUUUCUAGUUGCAGAACAGACAAGGAGCUGUUCAUGGCACUGAAGCCCUACCCCAGCUCCUGGGAAUCUUGUUCAGCCACCUCUGUUUACACACUUCCAAGCAUAUCUUAUCUUCACAGCCAUCAGGUCUAGGGUUUUGUUUCAGUUUUAAAUGCAAGUUGAGAUUUAUCAGCCUGCGGUGUGGUGCAGAAGUCGAGUGUCAAAUCAGAAACCAAGCAGAUCCAGCUUUCAAAUUCCAUAAAGCCAUAAACCUCACUGGGUGACCUUCAACAAAUCACUAUCUCUCAGCCUGACCUACCUUGCAGGGUUACUGUGAAUAUAAGGUUGUGGGGAACCAUGCACACUUUCCUAAACUCCUUGGAGGAGAGGCAGAAUAGAAAAGAAGAAAAAACAAAAACACUUCUUCUGCACUCCUGUAGGAUUGCAGAGUGCAUAGCAGCCCUGCAUAAUAUACCCUCUAUUCCCAUAGGCUAAAGGCAUCUGCUUUGAGUUUCAAGGAUGGGGAAGAAAAGUCGUCUGGUGUUCACAUCCUGUGCUUCAUUUACAAAAAUUAGGGUGAGCGACCAAGCUUGGAAGUUGCCCCUUCAGCAAAUCUCAG